rnacentral:lncRNA from 1 species
CUCAUCUUCACAUGCUGAUUCAGUAGAUCUAGUUUGGGGCCUGAGAUUCUUCAUUUCUAACAAGUUCUCGAAUGGUAGUUUCUGCUGCUCCUAAAAGUUUCUGGAGUUAAAUGAAACUACCGGAAGCCUCCUUCAACAAUGUCAAUAAAUACAAAUAGCAUCUAAUCAAGGAAAGCUUCUCUAAGGCACAGUCCUGGCCUUCUAACUCCACCUGAGAGCAAAAAAGGAACUCCGGGAGAAGGGGUGGAGGUGCUGCAGGCUCUUACAAGGCUCCCCAGGUUACUUCACACCUGGUGCUGGGCAGACCCACCUAGGUGUGCCAGACAGUUGGGAUCAGGCUGCUGCUUGCAGCCCCAAGGCAAGAGUUCUUGCAAACACAUACUUUUUUCUCAUUGCCUGUGCCUUCACCAUCUGUCUACCUUUCUUUCCCCGGGUCCUUCUCUUUCUUUUCCCUGGGUUCCUGUCUCCAGGCUUCCCAGCAGCAACUGGGGCACUUGCUUGGUCUGCUGUGUGCUUACUUGGGUUUUGGACUAAGUCAAAACUGCAAAAUCUCAGGCCAUAACACAGAGGAGCUUAAGCCAGCAGAAUAAGAAGGGCCCUGGGGAUAAGUGCCUAAGAGAUAUGGCAUGAUGGAACUUGAUUUGUUUUUCAUCACAGAUCCAUUCAUGACACACAAUAUGUGGUCUGAUAGCUUGGCAGGACUGAACAUGAACUAUUCUCACUCCAGCUUAUAAUUUACAUAUUUUUCCCUUGGCAAGACCCAAGCAACUGUCAUCAGCAGGUUGUGUGGGACUUGUCGAGUGUGGUGGCAGGUCCACACUGGGUUUGGCUGUAUCCCAAAGUUUUGACUCAUCCCCUGGCCUGUGGCAGAGUGGGAAAUCUUGCUGGUGUAGCUAGGUAAGGGCUUCCCUCUGGACAUGCCAGGGCUAAGGAAUCCUCAACAGCCUUAGCUGGCCAUUUCUGAGAUGGCGAAACACUUACCCAGAAUUCCACUGGGCCAAAAGUUAACCUCUACAGAAGAGCAAACUAAUUCACUUUGUCUAGCUUUGACAGGAAAGAACAGAAAGAGAAGGGAAAAACUGAGACCUUAGGAUAUUCAACAUAAAGGCAGCCAAGUAGAGGAUUCUUAAAAUCUGUUUCUAAAUUAGGAUCGUCCCACAUUUAUUUGGGGCUUAUUCAAUGACAUUUUCCUAAGCACUAGUUAACAAGGCAUCUUACCACAUGCCAGAUAAAACUGGUCGUCAGAACAUAACCUUUUUACCCUGCGGAAUAACACUUUUCACCCAGAUUCUUGAGACUCUUUAAUUUCCUUACAGUUUCCAACCAUUUAGGGAAAGCUACUCUGGGAACUGAAAGAGGCAAUGUGGCUCAGAGAUUGAGCAGGUUUCUCCUCCCUACUAACAGCAUCAGAUGAUAAUUAAUCCUCAUUGCUUCCCAAAGGACAGCCAAGGAAAAACUUCAUUUCCCAGAUGAGGUGGCUCAACAAACUGCCCAAGACCAGUGUCCCAGCUAGCAAGUAGCCAGCUACCCACAGUGCAAUCUGUUUCAGCCCUUGCGACAGGCUUCUGGUCUCCUGCAACUGGUCUGAGUAGACUUAAGUUCCUGUCUUCACUUGCCCCAGCCUUGUAACACCUCCCUUGAGAGUACUAUUUCUAUGUAGGCUUUUUAGGGCUGAAAUGAGAGAAGACAUUUCCUGGCCCUGAAGUGAGUCAUUGGCCUAGUAAAACUUCACCUAAGGGGUAGCUGACUAGCCAAUUGAGGACAAUGGAGGAAGCCUGGCACCUCUGGAGGGAAGUUCCUGAUGUGUGGAGAUUUGCCAUCUAUGAGAUGGCAAGGCUCAGUGGCUACACAGGCCCUCCGGCAGCCUUAAGCAUCAAAUAAAUUACAUAAAUACUUAGGGCCUCUAGGAUCCAGGUCUUGAACUAUGUGCCUUGGAAAGUCCAGAGUUGAGGUUCUUGCUCUCACUUACUAUUUUCAGUGUGGUCCCUGGGAAGCAGCAUCAGCAUCACCUGGGAACCUGUUAGAAAUAAUUGUCAGACACCAUCCCAGACCUACUGAAGCAGAAUCUCUGGUGCUGGGAUACAGAAUUCUGUGUCUCACCAGCUCUCUAGGUGAUUCUGGUGCAAGUCCAAGUUUGAGGGCCAUUGCUUUUAUCAAACCAUUAUUUGUUGAGCCCCUUUAAAUCAGGUUGAAUUGGGGUUCUCUAGAGGUAAGGGGGGCUGGGUAACAAAGUGAGGCUCUCAAGUCAGGUUACCUGGUUCUCUGCAACUUCCUAGUGAUGUGACCUUGGAUGUCAGUUCUCUCACCUCUAAGACGGGGGAAAUAAAACCUCUUCCACUGGGAGGUCGUGUGUGUCUGGCCUAUGUAGUUUCUCUCUUUUCGCCACCCCAAUCUAUCUAAAAGGAAAUUUACAGAACAGGACCUACUGUUCCUAGGGUAAAAAUCUGCAAGAUUGGCCACAUGCAGGAUGCUGAUGUUAAUACCUUUUUAAUUAACAUUUUAAGUGGUUCUAGGUUUAAAUGAGUUUGGUUCAGCCUUUAAGUCCUGAGGAUAAUGGUAUUUUUAGCAGAAAUAUGUUUUCCCAUGCUGACUUACAUCCAAAUAGUUUCAAAGAUUAGAUUACAACUUUACUAAAAAGUGAAACUUAACUUCUACUUAG